rnacentral:lncRNA from 1 species
UCAUUUUUAGCCCUAGUAUUUUUAAAAAAAUAGUAGAGAUCUCUUCUUGCUCUCUCUCCCUUUUCUUGCGGCUAGGGUUUUGAAACCCCUCAUCGCCGUUGUUGCCACGGUGCCACCACAAGCGGUGGUAAGGGCGGUGCGAGCUGGCCUACCCUGAGGUGUCCCCGAAGGCCAAGCCUUCUUAACCCAAAAGUUGCGAAAGAAAGGUCUUCCCCUCCUUAGUCGGUCCGAUCCCGGUGACGGAGGAGAGCCCUCCGUGAAGAAAUCACGAGCGAUUCCGGUGAGACCUUCUUCCUUUUUAUUAUUUUUUUUCGUGCACACUUUUUAAAUGGAUUUGUAGUAAAAAUAAAAUGAAAGGAAAAUAAAAAAAACGAAUAGAAAACAAGAAUAAGAAUCGAAAUCAACCUUAAACUUUGUUCUGCUCUUUUGAUUAAAAUGUAUGCGUAAAAAAAUACAAAUAACAUAUUUUCGCUUUUAAAGCAGAUCUACAAUCCGUUGGCCUUUUGUUUUUACUUUUUGCUAUUUACUCAUCUGCUUCUCGCGUGCUUUCUUUGCUGCUAUUUUUGAUUUGGUUGCAGGUGUUGCGCGACGAAUGGAAGAGGUGGCGUGUGGUGCGAUGAAACGGCGCGCGUUGGUGGCCAUGCUGGUGGGGAGCGGCGGCUGAAGGCUUGGUGGCUAGGGUUUGCUGAAAAUUUUAUUUGUGUUGUGGGCUUGGACUAUUAGGGUUUGUAAAUUAGGUUUGGGUAUUGUCUUAUUUGGGCCAUUUUAAUAUAUAAAGGGACUGUUAAUAAACAUUUGGAUUUUCACCCAUUUUUGGUUUAUUUUGUUUUUAAAACAUGGGUCAAAAUUGGCUAUUACACCACUCAAUAGAAAAUCCCUCAUAGAUUGUCCUUGCCUCGAUUUAAAAAACUCUUGAUUUACAAUUGUCAUUGCAAAGCCAAGUAACUAGCCUCCAACUUGAUUUUGAAACACUCCCCCUACUGCAACAUAGGAUUUUUUUAAAAGAGAUGCGAUCCUCAGUGUUAUUUUUCACCCAACCUAUCAAUGGUGGUUGCCAGACACUUUUUGUAUGUAUAUUGUUGUGAAGACUAACUGCAUUUUUGGUAUAAGUAAAGUUUCUAGUCCAAGUUAUACUAGUGGCAAUCAAGGUAGCACUGCUAUAGCAUGUAUCUUUAAAAACAAGAUCAUCCCUGUGCUUCCAUAUUAGCCAAUAAACAGUUGAAAACAGAGUUUUCGAUUCUCCAUAAACAACUGUGAGUCCAUAAGAAUUGCACAUAUUUGCAUUAAGCUAGACUUCCAAGGAAGAAGAGAAAUAUGAAUGCCAAACAUUUUGAUUUACCAAUGAUUUCCAAAUGCCAGUCGCAUAUAGACAGUCUCUAAUAGCAUGUAGAGUUGUUUCAAUAAAACCACCACAGUAUGCACAAUGGUCAUCUCCUGUCAUUCCCCUCUUAACUUGUAUCUCACUAGUAAGUAGUCAAUUUUGUAGCAAUAGCCAAAGAAAGGUUUUCACCCUCUAUGGAGUAGGUCUCUUCCAAACACUUGAAAGAACCCUGUAGUUUGCUAGCUCUCUUUGCUCCAUAAAGUGACUAUAGGUUUCAGCUGAAAAGAAAACACCUUUCGACAUCCACCUCCAAGCCAAGCAAUCGAGGGCAAAUUCUAUGGCUAGUGGCAUAAUUGUAGCAAUGCGAACGAUGACAUUCCUUGGUAGCUUAGUUUCAAGCAAACUCCAAUCCCAUGAGCCAGUGUCAGUCACCACAUCACAAACUCUCAGAGUUUCAUCAAUACAACCCCUGCCUAUAUAAAAAGAUUUUAGAGGGCCUACACUCUCCACCCAGAAAUUAUUCCAG